rnacentral:lncRNA from 1 species
GUCACAAGGGCGCGUCUUCGCCGACACCAUAGAGGUGGGCCUUCCGCGACGCCACAGGAGCGGGUGUUCGCCUACGUCACUGGGGCGCUACAGUACCUGGAGCUGGGCAGUCUUCUCAUCAGAGUGGGGACUAAUAACAGUGACCUCCCCGCCAGGUCCUGUGUGUUGCCGGCUGAAGAAGGGUAGCUGAAAAAUUCAGACCCAGCACAGUGUUUAUGUUGGUCAAAAAUAGAAAACUAUGUCUGGCGUGGCCGAGGCGGGAGGACCCUUCAGGCCAAGAGCAGCCUAGCAACAUGGCGCAACCCCAUCUCUGUAGUCCUACCUCAGACCCCCAGCUACUUGAACCCAAAGGUUCAAGGCUCCAGUGAGCUAUGAUCCCACCACAGCAUUCCAGCCUGCGAGAUUGAGGUAAACCCUGUCUAAAAAAA